rnacentral:rRNA from 1 species
UACGGGGGGGGGCAAGCGUUGUUCGGAAUUACUGGGCGUAAAGGGCGCGUAGGCGGUCAGCACAAGUCAGUUGUGAAAUCUCCGGGCUUAACUCGGAAAGGUCAACUGAUACUGUGCGACUAGAGUGCAGAAGGGGCAACUGGAAUUCUCGGUGUAGCGGUGAAAUGCGUAGAUAUCGAGAGGAACACCGGUGGCGAAGG